UCUCCUAACCGAUCCCUAAUUCGUUUGAACCUCUUCUUCCCUAUCUUCCCUCUUUUUCCUGUAAACUGUCAUUAUUGCUUUGCCUUUCGAUUGUUGCUUUGUUGCCGUCGUUCCCCGAUGAAGCCCAAAUCUACCAUUGAAUCUAACAUUUUCAGCCGUCACUUUGCUUCCUUUGACUGUUGAAGGGCAAAAGAAAAAACUGGAGGAAAGUGAACAAUUGCUAAACCAAAGGAGGUUUAGAGAAGCAAGAGAUAUAAGGUUAAAAACCUCAGGCCAGCUCCUCCUUUUUGAAGAUCAGAUCAGAGUAAAGAACUUAAAUAGUAUAUAUUUGAUUUUCAUGAAUGUAGUUGGCAUGUAAUUUAAGAUUUUAAUCGAAUAUGCUUUGAUUGGGUUUGUAAACUUUUGUUUAAAUUUAUGUAAAUAAUGUUGUUUUAUUUAAUAUAAGUUGAAAUUUUUA